GUUGGCGGCCAUAGCGGAGAGGGUAGACCCAAACCCAUUUCGAACUUGGAAGUGAAUCUCUCCAGCGAUACAAUGAGUACUAAGCGAGAGCUUGGGAAAGUUUAUACGUCGCUUACC
rnacentral:rRNA from 1 species